rfam:Schistosoma rodhaini strain Burundi genome assembly, scaffold: SROB_scaffold0001765
AUCCAGCUGACGAGUCCCGAGUAGGACGAAUCGCGUAUCCUGGAU